GAUUAUUGUCGUUGCAAUUGCGGCAUUACAAACAUUGUGGUUGCAACAUUUAUAAUUGUGAUUGCUUCCGUUACGAUUGCGGCAUUACAAUUGUGAUUGUUGUCGUUGCAGUUGUUGCGUUUGAUAGAAUAUAAUAUUUUGUUAUAAUUAAUCAUAAUUAGUUUCUUAUAAUUAUGUUGUAUCAUAAUUAGAUAGUUGAUCAAAUGUUAUAUAUUGAUGUAUAUAUAUUCUAUUCAGAUCAAUGAAAAGGAC
rnacentral:lncRNA from 1 species